rnacentral:misc_RNA from 1 species
CUCGCUUUGACAAUCAGGUCUUUAAGCGUUUCAGGGAAAAACGUUUCGAGUCUGUUUACAUUCUCUUUGUGGAAAAUAAAGUAUUCUCGGUACAUACUAUUUUAGUAACAACAGUAUUUUAGUAAUAAGUAUUCCUGUUCACGUCGUAAUAUUAUGUUACAUAACGUGGCUUUAUCCGACAAUAUUCCUCUUCGCACUGGAUGGAAAAUUAUAAAGGAUGUUUUCCCCUCAAGGUUGUGCGUGGGAGAGAGGAGCAACGUGAAAGAGGAGGAGGUCAAGGAUUCCAUAUAUAAUAUCGAGGGAUUCGCUCGGGGAAAAAACAAGUGGCUAUGCACGACUCUGUUGAUAUAGCUCG